UACGUAGGGGGCGAGCGUUGUCCGGAAUGACUGGGCGUAAAGGGCGUGUAGGCGGCCGACUAAGUCUGGAGUGAAAGUCCUGCUUUUAUGGUGGGAAUCGCUUUGGAUACUGGUCAGCUUGAGUGCGGAAGAGGUAAGUGGAAUUCCCAGUGUAGCGGUGAAAUGCGUAGAGAUUGGGAGGAACACCAGUGGCGAAGGCGACCUACUGGGCCGUAACUGACGCUGUGGCGCGAAAGCGUGGGGAGCGAAC
rnacentral:rRNA from 1 species